rnacentral:misc_RNA from 1 species
UCCGAGUUGACCCCGGCAGUCUCCUAUGAGUCCCCGGCAUAACGCGCUGGCAACAUCGAACGAGGGUUGCGCUCGUUGCGGGACUUAACCCAACAUCUCACGACACGAGCUGACGACAGCCAUGCAGCACCUGUGUACGCUGGUAUUGCUACCUCGUCAGGCUUUCACCCUUCUACUACGUACAUGUCAAGGCCAGGUAAGGUUCUUCGCGUUGCAUCGAAUUGAGCCACAUACUCCACCGCUUGUGCAGGCCCCCGUCAAUUUCUUUGAGUUUUAAUCUUGCGACCGUACUCCCCAGGCGGCACAUUUAACGCGUUAGCUUCGCCACAAAAGGGGUCGAUUCCUCUUACAGCAAAUGCGCACCGUUUACAGCCAAGACUAC